UUGAUUCAGCAGGUUGGAAACGCUCUUCUUUGACUAUCGGCGAAGAAACAUUUGGAAGUUCAUUGCAGCCUAUGGGAAAAACAGAAUAUCCCCAGAAAAAAUUAGAAAGAAUAUAUCUGCAAAACUGCUUUGUGAUGUGUGGAUUCAUCUCACAGAGUUAAAACUUUCUUUGGAACUAGCAGGUUGGAAACACACUUCCUGGAAAAUCUGUGAAUGGAAAUUUGUGAUCCCUUUAUGGCCCAUGGGUAAAAAUUGAAUGUCCCCAGAUAAAAACCAGCAGGAAGCUAUCUGUGAAGCUGCUUUGUAUUGCGUGGAUUUAUCUCACAGAGUUAAACCUUUCUUUUGAUUCUGCAUGUUGGAAACACUCUUUCUGGAGAAACUGCGAGGGACAUUUGGGAGCAUACUGAGGUCUAUAUGAAAAAACUGAAUAUGCUCAUAUAAAAACUAGAAAGAAGUUAUCUGUGAAACGGCUUUGUGAUGUGUGGAUUCAUCUCAAAACAUCAAACAUUUAUUUUUAUUCAGCAGGUUGGAAACACUCUUCUUGGAAUAUCUGCGAAGGGACAUUUGGGAGACCAUUUAGGCCUAUGGGGAAAAACCUAAUAUCCCCAGAUAAAAACUACAAAAAAGCUAUCUAUGAAACUGCUUGGUGAUGUGUGGAUUCUUCUCACAGAGUUAAAUUUUUCUCUUGAUUCAGCAUGAUGGAAACACUCUUUUUGGAGAAUCUGCGAAGAAACAUUUGGGAGGCCAUUGUGGCUUAUGGGGAAAAACUGAAUACCCCAGAUAAAAACUAGAAAGAAGCUAUCUGUGAAACUGCUUUGUGAUUUGUGGAAGCAUCUCACAGAGUUAAACAUUAAUUUUGAUUCAGCAGGCUGGAGAUACUCUUUUUGUGGAAUUUGUGAAGGGACAUUGGGGAGCUCAAGGAGGCCUCAUAGGAAAAACUGAAUAUCCCCAGAUUAAAACCAGAAAGAAGCUGUCUGAUAAACUACUUUUUGAAGUGUGGAUGUUUCUCGCAUAGUUAAACAUCUCUUUUAAUUCAGCAGGUUGGAAAAAUCAUUUUGGAGAAUCUGCAAAGGGACAUUUUGAAGCCAUUUGAGGCGUAUGGGUAAAACGGAUUAUCCCUAGAUAAAAAGUAGAAAGAAGCUCUCUGUGUAACUGCUUUGUGAUGUGUGGAUUCAUCUCAUGGAGUGGAACCUUUCUUUUGAUACAGCAGGUUGGAAACACUGUUAUUGCAGAAUCUGCAAAGGGACAUAUAGGAACACAUUGACUCCUAAGGGGAUAAAUCAAAUAUCCCAAGACAAAAACUAGAAGGACGUAUCUGUGAAACUGCUUUGUGAUGUGUGGAUUCUUCUCACGGACUUAAAACUUUCUUUUGAUCCAGCAGAUUGGAAAAACUCUUUUUGGAGAAUCAGCAAAGGGACAUUUGGGAGCUCAUUGAGGCCAAUGGGGAAAAACAAAUAAUCCCCAGAUAAAAACUAGAAAGAAGCUAUCAUUGAAAUUCCUUUGUGAUUUGUGAAUUCAUGGCACAGAGUUAAACCUCACUUUUGAUCCAGCAGGUUGGAAACACUCUUUUUGUAAAAUCCAUGAAGGCACUCCUGGAAGCCCAUUAAGACCUACAAGUAAAAACCAAUAGUCCCCAGAAAAAACUAAAAAGAAGCUAUCUGUGACACUGCUUUCUGAAGUGUGGAUUCAUCUACCAUAGUUAAACCUUUCUUUUGAUUCAGUAGGUUGGAAACAUUCUUUUUGCAGAAUCUGCAAAAAGACAUUUUGGAGCCCUUUAAGUCCUGUGCAGUAAAACUGAAUAUCCCCAGAAAAAAAUGAAAUAGAAGCUAUCUGUGAAACUGCUUUGUGAUGGGUGGAUUCAUAUCACAGAGUUAAACCUUUCUUUUUAUUCAGAAGCUUAGAAACACUCUUUUUGGUGAAUCUACAACCUGACAAUUGGGACUCAACUGAGGCUUAUGGGAAAAAAAAAUAUCCUUAUAUAAAAACCAGAAAGAAGCUAUCUGUAAAACUCCUUUGUGAUUUGUGUAUUCAUCUCACAGUGUUUAACAUUUCUUUUUAUGCAGCAGGUUGGAAACACUGUUUUUGGAUCAGCUGUGAAAAGCACAUUGAAGUUUAUGGGAAAAAAACUAUCCCCAGAUAAAAACUGGAAAGAAGUUAUUUGUGAAACUGCUUUGUGAUAUGAGAUUUCCUCUCACAGACUUAAAACUUUCUUUUGAUUCAGCAGGUAGGAAACUCUCUUUUUGGAGUAUCUGUGAAGGGACAUUUGAAAGCCCAUUGGAGCCUAUGGGGUAAAACUGAAUAUCCCAAAAUAAAAAGAAGAAAGAAGCUAUCUUUGAAAAUGCUUCAUCAUGUGUGGAUUCGUCUCACAGAGUUAAAAAUUUCCUUUGAUUCAGCAGGUUGGAAACACUCCUUUUUGAGCAUCUGUGAAAAGAUAUUUUGGAACCCAUUGUAGUCUGUCAGGAAAAACAGAAUAUCCCCAGAUAGAAACUAGAAAGAAGCUAUCUGUGAAACUGCUUUUGAAGUGUGGAUUCAUCUCUCAGAGUUAAACUUUUCUAUUGAUUCAGCAGGUUGAAAAACUCUUCUCCCUGAAUCUCUGAAGGGACUUUGGGGAGCAUAUUGAGGCCUAUUGGGCAAAACUGAAUAUCCCCCCUACCAAAAAAAAAAAAAAAAAAAAACUACAAAUAACCUAUAUGUGAAAUAGAUUUUUAAUGUGUGGAUUCUUCUCACAGAGUAAAACUUUUCUUUUGAUUCAGCCGAUAGGAAACACUGUUUUUGGAGAAUCUGCAAAGUGACAUUUUGGAGCCCAUUGAGGCCUGUUGGGAAAAAACGAAUAUCCCCAUAUAAAAACUAGAAAGAAGCUGAUAGUGAUCCUGCUUUGGGAUGUGUGGAUUCAUCUCAGAGAGUUAAAACUUUCUUUUGAUUCAGCAGGUUCAAAACACUUUUCUUGGAGAAUCUGAGAAUGGACAUUUAGGUGCCCAUUGAGGCCUAUGUGGAAAAAAUGAACACUGAGAAAAAAUUAGAAAGAAGCUAUUUGUGAAACAGCUUUGUGAUGUGUGAAUUCAUCUCAAAGAGUUAAGCCUUUCUGUUGAUCCAGCAGGUUGGAAACACUCUUUUUGAAGUAUCUUUGAAGGAACAUUUGAGAGCCCUUUGAGGCCUAUGGGGAAAAACCAGAUUUCCCCAGAUAGAAAGUAGAAAAAAGCUAUCUGUGAAACUGCUUUGUGAUGUGUGAAUUCACCUCACAGAGUGAAAGUGUACCUUUGAUUCAGCAGGUUGGAAACACUCCUUUUGGAGAAUCUGUGAAGGAACAUUUCGGAGCCCAUUGAGACCUAUAUGGAAAAAGGAAAUAUCUCCAGAUAAAAACUAGAAAGAAGCUAUCUGUGAAACUGAUUUGUGAUGUGCGGAUCCAUCUCACAGAGUUAAAACUUUCCUUUGAUUCAGCAGGUCGGAAACACUCUUUUUGGAGCAUCUGCAGAAAGACAUUUCAGAGCCCAUUGUGGCCUUUCAGGAAAAACAGAAUAUCCCCAGGUAGAAAUUGAAAGAAGCUAUAUGUGACACUGCUCUUUGAAGUGUGGAUUCAUCUCACAGAGCUAAAUGUUUCUUUUGAUUCAGCAGGUUGAAAAAACUCUUUUCCGAGAAUCUCCAAAGGGACAUUUGGGAGCACAUUGAGGCCUAUGGUGCAAAACCAAAAAUCCCCUCCAAAAAAACUAGGCAGAAGUUAUCUAUGAAACAGAUUUUUAAGUGUGAAUUUAUCUCACAGAGUUAAAACUUUCUUUUGAUUCAGAAAGUAGGAAACACUCUUUUUGGAGAAUCUGCAUAGAGACAUUUGAGAGCCCAUUGAGGCAUAUGGAUAAAAAUCAAAUAUCCUUAGAUGAAAACUAGAAAGAAGCUAUCUGUGAAAGUGUUUGUGAUACAUGGAUUCAUCUCACAGAUUUAAAUCAAUCUUUUAAUUCCCCAGCAGGUUGGAAAGACCUUUUUUGGAGAAUCUUCGAAUGGACAUUUGGGAGCCCAUUGGGGUGUAUGAGGAAAAACAGACAGAAUAUCCUCAGAUUAAAAAUAGAAAGAAACUAUCUGAGAAACUGUUUUGUGAUGUGUGGAUUCAUCUCAGAG
rnacentral:lncRNA from 1 species